rfam:Triticum aestivum genome assembly, contig: Triticum_aestivum_CS42_TGACv1_scaffold_406235_5BL
CUAGUACUCCCUCCGUCCCAAAAUUCUUAUCUUAGAUUUAUCUAGAUAUGGAUGUAUCCAACACUAAGUGAUGAAUAGAUACAUCCGUAUGUAGACAAAUCUAAGACAAAAUUUUUGGGACGGAGGGAGUACAUU